rnacentral:tRNA from 1 species
UCCUUCAUAGCUCAGUUGGUAAAGAAUCUGCCUGCAAUGCAGGAGACCCAGGUUCCAUUCCUGGGUUGGGAA